rnacentral:rRNA from 1 species
GACGAACGCUGGCGGCGUGCUUAACACAUGCAAGUCGAACGGAAAGGCCCUGCUUUUGUGGGGUGCUCGAGUGGCGAACGGGUGAGUAACACGUGAGUAACCUGCCCUUGACUUUGGGAUAACUUCAGGAAACUGGGGCUAAUACCGGAUAGGAGCUCCUGCUGCAUGGUGGGGGUUGGAAAGUUUCGGCGGUUGGGGAUGGACUCGCGGCUUAUCAGCUUGUUGGUGGGGUAGUGGCUUACCAAGGCUUUGACGGGUAGCCGGCCUGAGAGGGUGACCGGCCACAUUGGAACUGAGAUACGGCCCAGACUCCUACCGGAGGCAGCAGUGGGGAAUAUUGCACAAUGGACCGAAGCCUGAUGCAGCAACGCCGCGUGCGUGAUGACGGCCUUCGGGUUGUAAACCACUUUCGCCUGUAACGAAGCGUGAGUGACGGUAAUGGGUAAAGAAGCACCGGCUAACUACGUG